rnacentral:sRNA from 1 species
UACUCACUGGUGUUUGACCCCGUGCAGAAGACACUUCUCGCUGAUCAGGGCGAGAUUAGAGUUGGUUGCAAAUACCAAGCUGAGAUCCCAGAUCGCCUAGUAGAGGGAGAAUCUGAUAAUCGGAACCAGCAGAAGAUGGAGAUGAAGGUCUGGGACCCAGACAACCCUCUCACAGACCGGCAGAUUGACCAGUUUCUUGUGGUGGCCCGGUGAGGGGUGGGUGGAUAGGGAAGAUGGGCUGGGGGAGGUGUGGACAUUGUUCUGAGUCCCAUGGUUCUUAGAGAUGGACUUUAUUUCUUUCAUUGCCAAGGAUGUUUUCCUUCUUUCUCCUUUGGCUUAAUUUCCCAGCCCACUUGGGCUUUUGACUUUUCUUUCGCUUUUGACUUCUCAAUUUCUCCCUUAGAGCUGUGGGAACCUUUGCAAGAGCCCUAGAUUGCAGCAGCUCCAUUCGGCAGCCAAGCUUGCACAUGAGUGCAGCUGCUGCCUCCCGAGAUAUCACCCUGUUUCACGCCAUGGAUACCUUGCAAAGGAACGGCUACGACCUGGCUAAGGCCAUGUCGACC